CUGCCUUCUGACAGAGAUCAGCUGUUCUUCUCUGGCUUCAGCUCUGAGGUCAAACCCCUCUCAUCUGAUAGAACUGGAUCUGAGACUAAACGACCUGCAGGACUCAGGAGUGAAGGAGCUUCUUGAUCUACAGCAGAGUCCAACCUGUCGACUGGAGACUCUGAGGUGGAGCUGAGUGUGAAGAGGACAGUGUGAAGAGGACAGUGUGAAGAGGACAGUGUGAAGAGGACAGUGUGUGUGGACGGAGGCUGAGCUGUGUCCUGAGGAUCCAGAGGCUGAAGCAGCAGCAGCUUGUGUGUAGUCUCCAAUCUACACAACCCCUAAUCUGCAUGUGUUUGUGAGAUGAAGCCGGAGCACCUGGAGAAAACACGGGGAGAACAUGCAGACUCCACACAGGAAGACCCCAUCUGAACCGGAUUCAAACCAGCAACCUUCCUGCCCAGAUUGUGUUUAUUCACAUGAAGAAUGUGUUUAUUGAAAUGACACAACACAAGCAGAAUAUAUAAACCCUCUAUAAAGAGUCACAUACAGUGUGUUUAAGUUUGUCUUUAUUAUUGUCCACCUUUGUCCCUCAGUGUGUCUCCAUGUGUGUUGAACCACAUUCUGUGUAUAUGUUUGUUUAUGAUCUUAAAGUUCCUGGAUUCACGUCACAAAUUGAUUUAGUUCAACACAAAGUUCAACACAUUGAAAUCACUUUGAGUUUAAAAUCAGAGUUUUGUCUUUGACACAAAAGAUCAAAACUCUGGACUUAAAAAUGGGACGUUUUCAUUUCUGCAUCAGGUGCAGAGCGGUGGUGGCUUUUCUACUUUUGACCCACAGGUGGCGCUGCAGUAUAACAGCAGCACAUCCCAGUCAAAGCCUUUAUAUUCAGUCUAUGAGUCAAACACAUGGAUCAUUUCCUCUGUGACAAACCAGAUGUAACGAGAAGAAAAACAUCUCAGAGAGAAAAGUUCUGUUUCUACUUGUCUCUGCUUUAAUGCUCAAUAAACAUCCUUCCACCGACUUCACUGGAA